AAAUUCAUUUCCCCAAAUUGAAAUCAUCCGCCCUUUCUCUCAAGAACUUCAAGAACAAUAUUCAAGUUUCCUUCUCUUCUAAAGAUCAAGAACUCAUCCCUAAGAUCAAGAAUUUCAAGAAACGGACUAGGAUCCGGGUUCCACCUUUCAAAUUCUAUAAUCUAAGGAUCCGAGGCAGAGUCCCGCAGUCCCAUACAAUAGUAGAUUCGUGUGUGUCAGAAGUUUGCAGCUGGUGAGCCUUCUUUACUUCGGAAGGCCGGUAUUAGAGCUUGUUAUUAUUGUUCCAUUUUGAUUCAUGGACCGACUGGGGGCCUUGUCCCAGAUUUCAGACAAAUGCCAUUUUCAGUUGUUAGAGAUUUCACAGACUGAUGUUUAAAGUUGUUUCGAGGUUUAUGGUUUCCAUCACAGAUUAUUCAAUUGAAUUAUGAUAGUGACCA